rnacentral:rRNA from 1 species
UACGUAGGGGCGAAGCGUUGUCCGGAUUACUGGGUGUAAAGGGCGCGUAGGCGGGUUUGUAAGUCAGAUGUGAAACUCCGAAGCUUAACUUCGGAACUGCAUCUGAAACUGUGUCUCUUGAGUGCUGGAGAGGAAAGCGGAAUUCCUAGUGUAGCGGUGAAAUGCGUAGAUAUUAGGAGGAACACCAGUGGCGAAGGCGGCUUUCUGGACAGUAACUGACGCUGAGGCGCG